rnacentral:rRNA from 1 species
CAAAGGGAUCCCUGAGUAAUGGCGAAAGGGGAUGCCAAUGAAUCCCGUCCUCUGGGGAAAUGUGGCGUAUGGAGGCGGAAUUUCUGGACUGUGGUGUGGAACGAGUCCCCCUGAACGGGGCAGCCGUAGCGGGUGAAAGCCCCCUAUUUCCUUAUCCACUCUGGAGCCUCCGUUUCUCCUGAGAGUCGGGUUGCUUGAAAGUGCAGCCCAAAGUGGGUGGUAUGCUCCACCUAAGGCUAAAUAUCACCGAGAAUCCGAUAGUAAACAAGUACCGUGAGGGAAAGUUGAAAAGAACUUUGAAGAGAGAGUUCAAUAGUACGUGAAACUGCUUAGGGGUAAGCGGGUGGGCCCUCGAAGUCCGAACUCGGUUCAACUCGUGCGACCGAACGGCGCUUUUUAUCAGGAACCAUAUCGAACCUUGGAGGUGCUACGCACGUGUGCAUCUUCCCGGUUAGUAGGGAGCCGAGACCGGUUGGUCAGCUUUCAGAAGAAUGAAGGUAGCCUGUCGACGGCGUUGGCGGGUGUUACAACAGUGUUGCUGUUAGCAGCGACCGUUACGAACGUGCUAAGCCAUCUUCCUUUUGCCCUCUACGCUUGCGUGUUCAGCCCUCACACUUAGGUGUGGAGAUGGCCGAGCUCUUCGGCUAGUAGGUUGGGUCCCACCCGUCCCGUCUUGAAACACGGACCAAGGAGUCUAACGCGUGUGCGAGUCCCCGAGUGUUGAAUAACCUCUAGGGCGUAAUGAGAGUGAAGGUGUCUGUUGGGAUCCGUCGGCGCACCAACCCGUCCCGUCGCUUUGUCGGUGGGGCGGAGUAAGAGCACACGCUGGACCCGAAAGAUGGUGACUAUGCCUGGGCAUGAAGCCAGAGGAACUCUGGUGGAGGCCGAAUUCUGACGUGCAAAUCGAUCCCUGGAUAGGG